AAUGGGCGCGCGUGAGCUGAUGUAAGCAUCUUUCAUGGUGUUGAGCUCCUGGUUCCAUCUGUUUGUUAGGGGCAUGGAGACCAAUCCUUGGAAAGGGUGCCCUUGAGCUGACGUAAGCAUCCUUCAGGGCUGUGAGUGCCAUGGUUACACCUCCGCACUGGGAACAUGCAGACCCAUAAUGGGGACUGCCACACCAGUUCUGGCAUUCCGCCUGGCCUUGAAUUCAGAGGUUGUCUUAGGAGCAUGGAGACCACCAGUGUGU